UAAGCUGCAAAGGACAGAAAAGAGUAG
rnacentral:piRNA from 1 species